UACGUAGGGUGCAGGCGUUGUCCGGAAUUAUUGGGCGUAAAGAGCUCGUAGGCGGUCUGUCGCGUCUGCUGUGAAAACCUGGGGCUUAACUCUGGGCGUGCAGUGGGUACGGGCAGACUAGAGUGCAGUAGGGGAGACUGGAAUUCCUGGUGUAGCGGUGAAAUGCGCAGAUAUCAGGAGGAACACCGGUGGCGAAGGCGGGUCUCUGGGCUGUAACUGACGCUGAGGAGCGAAAGCAUGGGGAGCGAACAGG
rnacentral:rRNA from 1 species